AUUUUGUAAAACAUAAUAAUUGUAUUAUUGUAUUUCAUCAUCACGGUUUUGUAAUUCAAAAAAAAAUAUAAAUACAUACAUAUAAUUUAGACCUGCAUAAACUUUAAUAAAAAUACAUUUUGAAAAAUACUGCAAAAGUUUUUUCGGAGGCCCGAGAAUUUGCGGGACAGCUGUGUGGGGGCGGUAAUCUUUUUAUUUCACCAGCUAUUUCGGAAUAAGUGAGUCACGGAGGCUUUUGAUUACCCGACAUUUGAGGGGGGGGGGGCAGAGCAGAGGUGAAACAACGAGGGUAUCGUGUUCAAACACACCUUGUUGAAAAACCGUCGCGGGCCGACUUUCUUGCCAUUUACAAUUGUGAUACCGUAGUACUGCGACGACCUAAUCCAACGGCGUGUGUUGAUGGUUUUAGUGCUCGCCAUACGACGAAUUGGACAGCUGAACCACGCAAGACCUCACGGACGUUAAACGACCGUCAGACAGACAGUAAAUAUGUCUACUUGAUAUCGUAACGAAGCCAACACAAGCCAGACGUUUAGAAUUAACGUUCUGUGCAUAACGCUUAGUCGCGACACCAAAAACUUAGAUGCCGAUUGAAAAACAAAACGGUUACAGUUUCAUGGCCACCGCCGGGUCAAGCUGCGGAACAAGCGAUCAACUUUUAUCUUGUAGCCAAAGUAAUUCGUAAAUUAACAAAAAUUAAAUAAGAUGUUUCCGUGGUUAUUUAUCAGUUAUUGUAAUCUUAUAAAAAGACUAUUGGGCAUCUAGAAUAAAUUUUAGAUUCUGAGUGGAGCGAAGAAGCUUAUGGUUUUACAAAGAUGUUCAUUUUUUAAAAUUUUUUUUUUUUUUCUGUGAACAACUUUUCUACCAUUCGACUUGCUCCGAUUUUUACGUGUACCACUUUUUUUGAAAGGAAAUCGGAGUGAGGAGGUAAUUUAAGGAGGGUAUGGUAUACUUGUAUGCCUUUAGGAGGCUACCACAUAGUAACUACCACGGAUAGAACAGUUCUACCUAUAACCGUGGUAACUGCACAAUUUUUAUUGUAAUAUAACAAUAGCCGGCUAUCAUUCUGUACAAUUGAAAACAGUUCCGUUCAUUUUAUGGCUCUUAUCAUAAACGUAGUUAUUAAAUCGAUAAGUUGUAGUCAAUUUCAGUUUGGUAAAGUUAAGUCUUUAACCUUGUCAUUUAGGUAACUAUAAUUUUGUUAUGACGAUAAAAACGUAAUUCAAUUCAAUGAUAAGUGAUGAUAUGUUAUUUGAAAUUGUAUUAAUCUGCCAAGGCUGAGGCGAUUUAGAGAUCGGUCAAACCCCUCGGAGAUUUUGAUGAUUUGCCAUUUUUAAAUAGAAAAAAAAUAAAUAAAUAAGAAUAAUAUAUAUAUAUCUUUACCUAUGUAAAGAAAAAUGUAUUAUGUGAGAAAAACUACAAAAAUGUAUAAUAAAAUAACUUGAUAUUGAAUUAUCAUAUUAUAAUAUGAUAUGGAUAAAAUAUUUAUACUGAUAACUGAGCAUAUGGUUAUAACCAUAGAUAACUUAUACAAACAGUAAAUAAGUGCGCAAUGUAAACCGAUCAAUACUUGUAAUUUUACAGAACAGAGAUUGUGGUACCAACAGUUUACAUAACGGUUUUUAUACAACCCGGCAUCUCUAUUAAGUUUAUUUACUGUGUUCUUAAAUUUUUAAUUAUUGUUAAUGUGUCAAUGCAUUUUUAGGUAUUCGUGUUAAAAAAUAUAGUAACUAUUAGUACAUAUUUUUUUCUUUGAUUUUGCUUGCUUCAAUCAUCCAACUCGCUGUAUUGUGAACCCAAAUGAUUAACAACACAACAAUACCAAUUGAUUUCAUUUCUAAGAAACUCAAAAGGUUUAAGAUAAAUUCAACAUAAUAUUUAUCAUUAAAAAUAAUUAUGGACUGGGAUCACAAUUAUGCGUUACCAAGAAGUAGUAAGUACAUCAAAGUAAUUACUAGCGCACGGAUGUUGUUGCAUUUGCAACUUUUUUCUACCUUUUCAAUUUAUUGCUAAGUAAGUAAGUAAGUUAUAUACGUCUAAUAUAAGUAUGAUUUCAAAUCUAGAAGUUUUAAGUGUAAUGUUUUAUAAUUUUUUUUAAUUUACUCAUUUACACAACUACAUUAGCUAUAGUCGACACUCGACAAUUGUAUAGAUAAAUUAUAUUAUAAUAUUGCCAGGUCAUAAAAUACUGUUAUAAUCUGUUCUUCAGUCAAUCCGUGAAUUUUGAGUGAUCAUGUUCUAUUAUUGUUUUGUAAAUAUGCUGACAAUAAGCCAACAAUUUCCAUUUUUGUAAAAAAAUUGUUUGUUUUUAGUGCAAUUUUUAAUAUUUUUAUUGCAAUACUGCAAUCAAUUUCAAUAGCCUUUUACUACUGCAAUAUCCGUGCUCUAGUAAUUACCUACCUAUUAUUGGAUUAUGUAUUUUUUUUUUUACAUUUUAAUCUUGUUAAAAAUCAAUUCCAUAGACUAAUUUUUAUAAAUGUUUUACUGAAUUAAUCUGUUACAGAGUUAUCAAAUGAACAAAUGAAUUUUAAAGAUAAUAAUUUAGAAAAAAAAUUUUUUCCUAUUCAUGUAAAACAAGGUACUGAAUAAUUUAUUUAUACAUAAAAUUAAAUUGUUAAAACAAAAUAUUUGCAUGUAUUGAAGUAUUUAUUAUUUUUCAGAGGAUGUGACUAUUGAACCUAUGAGGAAGAAGAUAAAAUUGAGUACUGCAGAAAAAAAAACAGAUAUUUGAAGAAAAAUAUAAACUAUGGAAUGAUAAUGUCAGGACACACCAUUAAGCGGCACCAAGUGUUCAAAUAAAAUUUGACAAGAGUCAUGUUCUGCCAAUGUUUUUUUCAGUCAUUAUUAAUUAUUAUAUAACUCGUAUACCAUUAUAAAUAAUAAGAGUAAUAACCAGGUCAUGAUGGUUAUAACAAUGUUACUCAUGAUUUAAUUUAAUUUGUCUUGGUAUUAAUCACAUUUUUGGUGGUUUUAACAUAUUAUUUAUAUACAUAAUUUGUGUUUUAAUUAACUAUUAUAUACAUCUAUACAGAAAACAACUGUCACGAGAGUCCGAAUCAAUAAUAUAUUAUUUGCACUGCCUAUGAUAUAAUAGAGGAAAUUAGGAUGACCAAGCGUUCUAUAUUGAAGAGGGUUGUCCCAUAUUUAUUUAAUUUAUCCCCUACAUCCAACAAGAUUUUAAACUUAAUGUAGAACAAUCCUGCUUUUCAAAUAUCAAUAUGUAGACUUUAAUAGAUUAUACUGGUUAUUAUUUAAAAACCAUGAAAAAAUACUUUUUGAAAGUUUAUUUUUAUAUCUUAUGAUUGUAUAUAAUUAUUUAUUUUUUAUAUAUCUACUAUUUAAGACAAUGAACAUACUAAGUAUUUAAAACUUGUUUUACGUUUGUUUAAUUUUCAUUUUCUAUUGACUUUUUUAUUGACUUUUCUAUUGCUUUUCAAAUAAUAAUUUUAAGUAAUUUAAUGUUCUACUAGUCAAUUUACUAUUUAAAAAAAAGCUAUAAUGUGGCUACUAAAAAAAUUUACUGAGUAAUUGCAAAUAAUAAUAAAAGAAAAUAUCUAGCGUUUAAUGCUAAAAUAAUUUACUUUAAGAAAUCUUUUGGUAAAAAAUGUAUGAACUAUCGAGCACCAACCUAUUAUAACGCAAUGCUAUUAGAUUUAAAAACAAACAUUUUUUAAAAAGAUUAAUGUUAAAAAACAUAUACUUGUGUGGUUAUUUUCCUGUUUGUAUUAAUGUAUUGUAUAUUUGUAUACCUAUGUAACACUACAAAUCCUUUUUGUCUUUUCUAUAUUUAAUUGUACAUAAACUUUUUUCUCUUUUUUUAUGGUUGUAAUUUUUUUAAUGAUACAUUUCUGUGGUUUUUAACUCUGCCUUCACCACCAGCUGCAGCUUAAAGAAGGUAGAUAAUUUAUGUAAAUUUGUGUUUUGUUUGAUGUGUUAUUUUCGAAUUAUUAAUAUUAAAAAUAUAUCUACUAAUUAUUCUAUUAUUUAUAUUUAAAAUUUAAGUUUCAUUUAAAGAGUAUUUAUUUAUAUUACCUAUAUUUUAUAAUAAACCAGCUGACCCGGCAGACAUUGUCCUGUCUUAAUUAUAAAUAUUGAAUUCAUUUUUAAACAUAGAUGCCUUGCAAUAUUGGCACACAAUGUUCAUUGGCCCAAUAGCAAUGAUGUACUGUAAUCAAUUUCUGUGUUAUAAUUAAAUGCAACUCGAUUCCGUUCAAUUUCAUUCUGC